GAUGAACGCUAGCUACAGGCUUAACACAUGCAAGUCGAGGGGCAGCAUGGUCUUAGCUUGCUAAGGCUGAUGGCGACCGGCGCACGGGUGAGUAACACGUAUCCAACCUGCCGUCUACUCUUGGCCAGCCUUCUGAAAGGAAGAUUAAUCCAGGAUGGGAUCAUGAGUUCACAUGUCCGCAUGAUUAAAGGUAUUUUCCGGUAGACGAUGGGGAUGCGUUCCAUUAGAUAGUAGGCGGGGUAACGGCCCACCUAGUCAACGAUGGAUAGGGGUUCUGAGAGGAAGGUCCCCCACAUUGGAACUGAGACACGGUCCAAACUCCUACGGGAGGCAGCAGUGAGGAAUAUUGGUCAAUGGGCGAUAGCCUGAACCAGCCAAGUAGCGUGAAGGAUGACUGCCCUAUGGGUUGUAAACUUCUUUUAUAAAGGAAUAAAGUCGGGUAUGCAUACCCGUUUGCAUGUAC
rnacentral:rRNA from 1 species